rnacentral:misc_RNA from 1 species
GGGAUUUUUAGGCUUCCAGUGCGAGCUGCUGUUCAUCCUCAUCGGCCGCCUAGCCUUGAAGUGAGGCCGCAUCCUUUGAGAGAGACGCAGAUCGGGUGCUUUUUGAGGACUGUUGCUAGCAGCGAGUCCCAAUUGUGGGCUGGUAGUGAAUAUGGUGUCCGCUUUUGGAAUUUCGAGGAUUUGUAUGCGGCGGCAGAAGAUACGGCUGUGAGGAGUGGUGAUGAAGAGACGGCGCCAUUUCGCGAGUCAAUUUGGACGUCGCCUACUCUUUGUUUGGUUGCUGAUGAGGGGAAUCGGUUAGUUUGGAGUGGCCACAAAGAUGGUCGCAUUAGAUGUUGGAGGAUGGAUAUUCAAAGUUUGAACUCCAAUGAUCAUUUUACGGAAGCUCUGUCUUGGCAGGCUCAUCGUGGUCCUGUUUUUUCGCUUGUAAUGACAUCUUAUGGAGAUCUUUGGUCAGGUUCGGAGGGAGGGGCUUUGAAGGUGUGGUCAUGGGAAGCUAUUGAGAAUGCUCUCUCUAUGACAGAGGGCGAAAGUCAC